rnacentral:lncRNA from 1 species
AAGGUUGCUGUGAAAUAAAAAGGAGCCAAUGGGAGGAAAGCACUUGGCACAGUUGCCUGGCACAUAGAACGUGCUCAAUAAAUAUUAGCUGCUGCUAUUUCAGUGCCCCUCCCGCCAACUUUCCUGGCAGGAAUCAAACUGAACGUAUGUGGAGGCAGAAUGGAGUAAGCCGCCAACAUCUCACCUCGGCGGGUCUCGUUGCAAACACAUCACUCCUGCCCCUGCAGUGACCUCCCGUGUCAAUAAAGCCUCGGUCCUUCUCUGCAAAUGCUCGGAGAGUACACUGUAACUGGAAGCAGCCUCCUCCCCUCGCUCAACACUCCUGAGAACCAAAAAGAUGUAGCCCUAUCUAAAGUUGCCAGCCUGAGACUUACCUGGGAGAUUUUGAAGAUCAGCAGGCCAGUGUAGAUGACUGAGGGAGUGACUGCGUUACUCCAGAAAACUUCAAAUCCCCUCCAAGAGGUCGCGAGGUUAUCCAACCUCUGUUCCAUACAGCCGGUGAGGGACGUUUCACUAUUCACCAAGGCUAAAAUCCAAGAGCCCGCUCCACAUUUGAACAGCUCUCACCAUCCAAAACUCCCCCUUAGAAUGUGGAAGCAGAAGACUCUCCAGCACGAGCGUCAGCGCACCUGGAUGCCAGGCCAAGCCCUGACCCCAAUUAACUGUGAGAUUUUGGACAGAUGCUUCCUCUCUGGGCGGCUUGGUCUUUUCACUUCCGGUUCUAAGGUCCUUCAUUCCAAGAUGAAAGGGACAGAAAAGUCUUCCUGAACUUCAGUGAGAGAAACUUGUUGAUUGAAUCACCUAAGAAUGAAAAGAGCUACAAUGUAAACCACCAGUGUUCCAGGGUUGAUGGGAACCACCUAGAGAGCUAAAGAAAAGCAAAAGCAGAUGGAACCCUACAGCACACAUGUUCUCUAGAGACGACAGCGGGGAAGGAAAACCUGAGUUGCAGAUUCUGGACUUAAAUAAUCAGCCUUUCUGGGACCCUGACUCCACUUUGGAAUUUUAGAGAGAGAGCUGGUGGCUGGGAGAUGAUCCACCUGACUGUAAACUUCAUGAAGGGACCAGUUGCGAUUAUUUCUUGACCAUCUAGCAUGUGUCAGGCACUAUGCUGAGUACUCCACAGGCAUCGCCUCAUUUACUCCCCCCAAUAACCAUAGGAGAAAAAUGUUAUUGUCCUCACUUCACAGAUGAAGAAACGGAAGUUCAGCAUCAGCAAGGAACUUAGCCAAGACUGCACAGCCAGGAAACGGAAGCGCCAGGGUUGAAAUGAGGUCAUCUGCCUCCAGCAUCCACACAGUUAACACCUCUGCCACAGAGUGGUCAACAUUCCUCCCUUUGGAAAUGUUUAUUCAUGGAGUACCAACUUUUCUAAGCCUUGGGGAUGCUGAGAUGAACUCCAUAGGCAGAGACCUGAACUCAUGGAACUCACAUCGUGGUGGUAACCCCGAUACAUAUACAAGUAAAGGUUUUUGAAAAUCAAGAGAACUCAGAACUCCUACCAGAUUCCAUCAAUGCCCCCUUGCAACAAGGCUCCUCAGCCCAUUUCACUAGCCAGGUCAUGGCAUGACUUGGCCAUCUCAGCUGGGCUCAUGUGGUCAAGAGCGAAGACCCAGAUUGGACAGUGGGGAGACCAGACUAGGUUCCAAACAAUUAGCCCCCAGAGAUACCUGUUUUGAUGAACUAUCCCCUGUGAAUGUGUUUUCUCAAAGCAUCUGUGGGUGUUCUCCUGGGUGCUAAUGUUUUCCCGGUGGCUGUUAUUCCCAGGGGCGCUGUGGUUUACUGCAGCCCGAGGACAGUAGCUUCUUUCAUCAGCACACAAAGGAACUUUAGGCUGGGGCAAACAUUCUGUUUCAUGUUCCAAGGUGGAGACGAAUGUAUAAAGGCUAGUUUCCUUAUAGUUUCGUCGUCUGCUUAUGAAUCUGGCUCCCACAUUAAUUUAUUAAAAGGGGGGUUUAUGUUUCAUUCAGUGUUAGACCUCAUUGCCUAACACAGUGCUUGGCACACAGUAGGUGCCCAGUAAACGAAUGAAUCACUGUUUGAAGUCAAAGCCAGGGGCUGUCAUUUACUUCCUGUGCAACGUUGGGCAAGUUGCUUAACUCUCUGUGCCUCAGUUUUCCCCUAUGUAAAAUAGAGCAUAAAAUAGCACCUAACUUAUAGAGCUCCUAUGAGAAAUAAGUGAGUUAACAGACAUGAAGCUGUUAGAAGAAUGCAUGACACGUGAUGUAUACAAAAUAGCUGAUAGUUUCCUGGUUUUUACAGAAGGUAUAUAAUCAAAGGCCAUUUUCUUGAUGAAUAUAAUUUUCCCAUGCACACUUUCCCAGUGAGUGUUUAUUCCACUCAGGAUAUGUUUCUGUAUGUAUUUUUAAUACUAGGUGUGAUUUUUUUUUCCUAUAGAUAUUUUUCCCUGUGCAUAUUUUUUCAGUGAUCAUUUCUCCUAGUAAAAAUUGUUCUGGUAGGCAUUUUUCCUAGGAAAGUUAUUUCUCCAGAGCUAUUCCCUCCCUUACCUUUUUUUCAAUGAUUUUUCCCAUAGACACUUUUCCUAGAGACUAUUUUCGUGGUGAGCAUUUUCAUAAUGAACAUUUUUCCAGAGGAUAUUUUUCCCAGGGAGCAUUUUUAGUGAGAAUUCUUCCUAAUGUGUAUUUUUCCCAGUGGGUAUUUUUGCUAGACAGCAUAUGUUUCCAUGGGAUAUUUUUCAGAAUA